UUAACUCGAAUUUGUAUGGAGUUGAACGUUUACCUACGUUUGCCGUUAAGGGCGCUGUUCCAACUCCAUACAAUCUUGAGUUA
rnacentral:pre_miRNA from 1 species